rnacentral:rRNA from 1 species
CAGUCGCCGCGGUAAUACGAAGGGUGCAAGCGUUACUCGGAAUUACUGGGCGUAAAGCGUGCGUAGGUGGUGGUUUAAGUCCGUUGUGAAAGCCCUGGGCUCAACCUGGGAAUUGCAGUGGAUACUGGGUCACUAGAGUGUGGUAGAGGAUAGUGGAAUUUCCGGUGUAGCAGUGAAAUGCGUAGAGAUCGGAAGGAACAUCUGUGGCGAAGGCGACUAUCUGGGCCAACACUGACACUGAGGCACGAAAGCGUGGGGAGCAAACAGGAUUAGAUACCCUCGUAGUCCCUGUCUCUUAUAC